rnacentral:rRNA from 1 species
GAUGAACGCUGGCGGCGUGCCUAAUACAUGCAAGUCGAGCGAACAGACGAGGAGCUUGCUCCUCUGACGUUAGCGGCGGACGGGUGAGUAACACGUGGAUAACCUACCUAUAAGACUGGGAUAACUUCGGGAAACCGGAGCUAAUACCGGAUAAUAUAUUGAACCGCAUGGUUCAAUAGUGAAAGACGGUUUUGCUGUCACUUAUAGAUGGAUCCGCGCCGCAUUAGCUAGUUGGUAAGGUAACGGCUUACCAAGGCAACGAUGCGUAGCCGACCUGAGAGGGUGAUCGGCCACACUGGAACUGAGACACGGUCCAGACUCCUACGGGAGGCAGCAGUAGGGAAUCUUCCGCAAAGGGCGAAAGCUUGGCGGAGCAACGCCGCGUGAGUGAUGAAGGUCUUCGGAUCGUAAAACUCUGUUAUUAGGGAAGAACAAAUGUGUAAGUAACUAUGCACGUCUUGACGGUACCUAAUCAGAAAGCCACGGCUAACUACGUG